GGCGCUGACAGCGCGCAGUCCGUCUCCAUUAAGAACCCCCUCCCCGGCGAGCAUCCAGACGUGAGACGAACGCGACUCGAGUUGAAGAGGCGGCGGCGAUACAGAGAAACGCGACAGGUCGAGAACGGCGGCCGCCAUGGAGGACAGAGCACCGCUUCUGCUGCCGCAGUACACGUUGCGGGACGGCGGCGACGGACGGGAGGAGAAGUGCGGCGGCGGCGUGAGGUGGUGGAGGGACCUGGCGCGGGAGGCCGGCAAGGUCGGGUACGUGGCCCUGCCGAUGGCGGCCGUGAGCGUGUCGCAGUACGCGGUGCAGGUGGCGUCCAACAUGAUGGUCGGUCACCUCCCCGGCGUCCUCCCGCUCUCCGCCUCCGCCAUCGCCACCUCCCUUGCCAGCGUUUCCGGUUUCAGCCUCCUUAUUGGAAUGGCAAGUGGAUUGGAAACUUUAUGCGGCCAAGCCUAUGGUGCAAAACAGUACGACAAAUUGGGAAUGCACACCUAUAGAGCUAUAGUCACACUCAUAGUUGUGAGCAUUCCAAUAUCACUUCUGUGGGUUUUCAUAGCCAAACUCCUCAUCCUCAUAGGUCAAGAUCCCUUGAUCUCAAAGGAAGCUGGGAGAUAUAUAGUCUGGUUGAUUCCAGGACUCUUUGCAUACGCAAUCAGCCAGCCUCUCACAAAAUUUCUGCAGUCUCAGAGUCUGAUAAUUCCUAUGCUUUGGUCCUCCAUUGCAACACUGCUCCUGCACAUUCCUAUUUGCUGGUUAUUGGUGUUCAAGACCAGUUUGGGGUAUAUUGGAGCUUCUUUGGCGAUAAGCUUAUCAUAUUGGUUAAACGUAAUUAUGCUUGCUGCUUACAUCAGAUGUUCGAAUUCUUGUAAGGAGACCCGUUUGCCUCCUACAGUUGAGGCCUUCAAAGGAGUUGGUGUGUUUCUGCGCCUAGCUCUGCCAUCUGCACUGAUGCUGUGUUUUGAAUGGUGGUCCUUUGAGAUCCUCAUUCUUCUCUCAGGAAUUUUACCAAAUCCAGAACUGCAAACUUCAGUUCUUUCAAUCUGCCUGACGACUAUCACGUUAAUCUAUACUAUACCUUAUGGGCUUGGAGCGGCUGCAAGCACUAGGGUAGCAAAUGAAUUAGGUGGUGGUAACCCCGAAGGAGCUAGAUCAGCUGUCCGGGUUGUCAUGUGUAUUGCCGUGAUGGAGGCGGCUAUCAUCACAGUAAUAUUGUUGGCAUCACAGCACAUCUUGGGCUAUGCAUAUAGCAGCGAUAAGGAGGUUGUUGCGUAUGUCAAUGCAAUGGUUCCAUUUGUGUGCAUCUCUGUUGCUGCUGAUAGCCUGCAAGGAGUUCUAUCAGGUCACAUCUCUAUACUUCCUUUAGCUAGUUGAUCUGCCUUUCCUUCAAAAGAGUAAAGAAAAAAAAAUCUUCCUGGUCUUAAAACCUCAAAAACACAUCUUCCAAUUAUACCAGUAAAGUAUGAAACAAACUUGUUAUCGGUCUUUACACCAAACUAAAACGCCCUGUACCCCUUAGUUUGAUCUCUAUAAUUCAAUCUGUGUGCUCUUGUCAAUUUUGGUAUGAAGCCCUAUCAGGUGGCAAGUGACCAUUACAGUUUUGUCAGUCGUGCCAAUGUCAUAUACCAGGUAACACGCCGCUUCUGUUCUUAGUUUCUUCCACGGUACUAAUGCUAUUCUGUGUUGUGGAAGCAAAAUUUUGUUACUCGGGGAGUUACUUGUUUAUUCCUUCGAAAAUGGGCUCUUACGUGAACAUGGAUGCCGGUGUUUUCAUCAACACGCAUCUAGCAGAGAUGUUACCGUAAGCAGGCUCCACAUCACUACGUAUUGCUAGAGGAUGCGGGUGGCAGCACUUGGGCGCCUAUGUCAACCUGGGCUCAUUCUAUCUCGUUGGGAUCCCAAUGGCAGUCUUGCUCGGCUUUGUUCUAAAGAUGGAAGGAAAAGGGCUUUGGAUAGGCAUUUCCUGCGGCUCCAUUGUGCAGUUCUUACUCCUUGCCACCGUAGCAUUCUUCAGCAACUGGCAGAAGAUGUCCGAUAAAGCGAGGGAGAGAGUUUUCAGCGACGAGCUGUCAGACAAGGUACCUUCGGAAUCGGAUGGAUCGGAAAUGCCUUAAUUUUGGCACGAGUCCUCUGAUCCCUUAACCUGAACGUGAAGAAGCGCACGAGAUGAUAUACAAGAGAAAGUGAAAAGAAAAAAACACUUACGGAAUUUCCUUUUUCUGCUGCCUUGCUUUGGAGGGACUCUGAACUCUAUGUACAGGGGAUUUGCUGAACGCUGACCACUUCUGUGUUCUUUGCUGGUGUUGUUUGAAACUGGGACAGUUGUAUCAGAAACACGACAUAUGAUGAUUAUAUGGUAGAUAGGAGCAAAAAGAGCUUUGCUUU